CCGUCCGCAACCGCAAACGCUUGC
rnacentral:siRNA from 1 species